rnacentral:rRNA from 1 species
GAUGAACGCUGGCGGCGUGCCUAAUACAUGCAAGUCGAGCGAAUGGAUUAAGAGCUUGCUCUUAUGAAGUUAGCGGCGGACGGGUGAGUAACACGUGGGUAACCUGCCCAUAAGACUGGGAUAACUCCGGGAAACCGGGGCUAAUACCGGAUAAUAUUUUGAACUGCAUGGUUCAAAAUUGAAAGGCGGCUUCGGCUGUCACUUAUGGAUGGACCCGCGUCGCAUUAGCUAGUUGGUGAGGUAACGGCUCACCAAGGCAACGAUGCGGAGCCGACCUGAGAGGGUGCUCGGCCACACUGGGACUGAGACACGGGCCAGACUCCUACGGGAGGCAGCAGUAGGGAAUCUUCCGCAAUGGACGAAAGUCUGACGGAGCAACGCCGCGUGAGUGAUGAAGGCUCUCGGGUCGUAAAACUCUGUUGUUAGGGAAGAACAAGUGCUAGUUGAAUAAGCUGGCACCUUGACGGUACCUAACCAGAAAGCCACGGCUAACUACGUGCCAGCCGCCGCCGUAA